GUUUGAACAUGGCCUCGAAACGGCAACAGGAGUCGGGAGCGGAGAAAAGAAAGAAGAAGAGGAAGCGUGAUGAAACUCAGGCGUCGCUUGCCGGGUCAAUGCUUAAAUAUGUUCAAGGAGGAUCUCAAGGACAGGAUGAACCAUCCAGUAGUAGUGCCAUCCCUGGACAUCAACCACCAGCCAUUGUAGACCCUGCAACAAUCCCUAGCCAAGAAGAACAAGAACCAUCAACCACCAGUUCAGAACAGUUCUCCACAGUCGCUGUCCACAUGGGUCAGUGGGACCAAGAAGCACUCUGCUAAUGUGUGGACUCUGACCAGCAACAUCCAGCAAGACCCAG
ensembl:lncRNA